rnacentral:rRNA from 1 species
GAUCAUGGCUCAGGAUGAACGCUAGCUACAGGCUUAACACAUGCAAGUCGGAGGGGCAGCAUGGUCUUAGCUUGCUAAGGCCGAUGGCGACCGGCGCACGGGUGAGUAACACGUAUCCAACCUGCCGUCUACUCUUGGACAGCCUUACUGAAAGGAAGAUUAAUACAAGAUGGCAUCAUGAGUCCGCAUGUUCACAUGAUUAAAGGGUAUUCCGGGUAGACGAUGGGG